GCCUCUGUGGACACACACGAGAAAUUUGCUAACGUGCUGACCACCGGUGGUAACAGGGAUAUAUUAAAACUUCCAAGCGUGUUCCGAGUGGAUCUCCAAACUGGUUUGUCUGUCUUUGAGGAUAUAAAGGUUCUUUACCAAACGCUGACCACGUUCGCCUCAGAAUAUCGUGUAGCAGUAGCCAAAAUCCGACUCAUAGAAUGCAGGCAUUUACGAAUAUACUCCGGCUCAUGUCCAAAUCGGUGCAGAGCAGGCGAUGAUAGGCACAAACUGCUUUGUAGCUUGGAUAAUCUUCAUAAAAAGUUACGGCAAUUCGAUGAUGGAGUUCUAAGCAUGAUGCAAAGGCUUGGGAUACAACGACCCACGAUGCGGGUACGGAGGACGUUAGCACUUCCGGAGGUAAACCGGUUACAGUACUACUUGGGUGUGGUUUACCAACUCAAGACACAGACAGUUGAUUUUCAUGAGGCCAUGGACAUCAUGCUGCAUUAUUAAACCUGAUUGUGAUAUGUCGUGUUCGUCACAAUAUGGGAGACAAGACCACUAAUGAAUAUUCAUAGGUUGGAGGGUCGAGGCCUAUCAAUUAGACGAGUGCAUGUUUUUAACUCUCAAGUACAUAUUUGGAGAGGUAUUGAAAAAAUAUUUGCUGUGGCAAGUCUACAGAUAUAAAGAAAUUAUUUGAUGAAAAAAUUUAUUUCGAAUUUUGCUAAUUGGGUAAUAGGGGGCGUGUUUUGAGUUUUUCUGCCAGUUGGCUGAAAAGAGUGGAAAUAUCGAAGUCUGUCUAAUUUGUCGAUUAUCAAAAAAUUUCCGUGGUCAACUACCAGUUUUUUUUCACCAUUUACUUGCCCGACUGUCCGGAAUAACAUAAUCUAAAUUUCAGAUUCACAACCCCACGCAGUAUUUGAUGCGUCGCGGUCAAACAUUGACAAUUUAACUGCUAAAAGGCUUAAAAAAUCAAUUGUGGUCUUGUCUCAUGGUAAUCAAUCACGUGCAACCGGCGGAGCCGGGCUGGAUGUUUACUGAGCUGAUUCAAGAUUCUUCCGCUUGCGAUGGUUGGCGCUUUGAUAUGAGGACUAUGGUCAGAUCCGGUUACGAAGUCAUGGUAGUGUUGGUGGUUACUUUCAUAGAUUAAUAAACUUGGGUCGUAAAAAAGGAGAUCUGGUUUUGU